ACACAAUUUCAAUCUUUGCAGAGCUUGUCAACGUUGAACCUCUCUUACAAUAACCUCUCUGGUAGCAUCACCAUUUUCAAUGAGCUCCGAGGCUUGGUCCAAGUUGACAUAGCACAUAAUGAAUUGGAGGGUCCAAUUCCUGAUGUCCCAGCGUUUCAAAAUGCUUCAAUACAAGCAUUAGAAGGAAACAGGGGUUUGUGUGGCAAUGUUAGUGGGUUGAAACCUUGCAAGCUUUCUAAAAACGGCCACCACAAGUUACUGUACGCAAUCAUGCUUCCUCUGUUAGGAGCUGCUAUCCUUUCAAUUGCUAUUCUGGCUUUGUUUUUUGGCUUCAAAAAAAAAGGAAAAGAUGCAGAUGAAGAAAGGGAAAGCACCAAGACUGAUGAGAACCUCUUUGCAAUAUCGUCCGUCGAUGGAAGAUUGUUGUAUGCUGAGAUUAUAAGUGCUACUAAAAACUUUAAUUCUCAGUGCUGCAUUAGCAAGGGAGAAUACGGAAAUGUAUACCGAGUAGAAUUGUCAUCAGGUGAUAUUGUAGCUGUGAAGAAAGUCCUUCCACUGCAUGCUGAUGAAGUUAGCACUGCAAAAGAAUUCCAAAAUGAAGUAAUGGCGCUCAUAGAUAUACAGCAUGGGAAUAUUGUGAAGUUCUACGGGUUUUGUUGCUCUGCUGAACAAACAUUCUUGGUUUACAAAUACCUCGAAAAAGGUAGUUUGGCUACCAAUCUAAGCAAUGAUGAAACAGCAAAAGAAUUGGACUGGGAUAAAAGGCUGAAUAUUAUAAAUGGGGUUGCUUAUGCCCUGUCUUACUUGCACCAUGAUUGCUCACCACCAAUUGUCCAUCGAGACCUUACAAGCAACAAUGUUUUGCUCGACUUGGAAUUUGAAGCUCACAUUUCAGGUUUUGGCAUGGCUAAACUUCUCAAUCCAGACUCAUCUAAUUGGACAAAUCUUGCUGGAACAUAUGGAUAUGUCGCACCAGGUGAUGUAGUUUAUAGAAAUCUUUUGGUGCAUGAAAGGUAGAUCAUUGUUCUGUAAUUGACUAUUUCUUUGUUUUUUCUUUUCCUUGGCAGAGCUUGCCUACACAAUGAAGGUUACAGAAAAGUGUGAUGUUUAUAGUUUUGGAGUGUUGAUUCUGGAAGUUAUCGUGGGAGCACAUCCGGGUGAUUUGAUCGCCACGCUACCAUCUUCAUCCCUUGAAAUGCGGCUUCUGGUGAAAGAUGUCUUGGAUCAAAAGCCUUUACCUCCAUCAGCAUACAUUCAAGACAAACUAGUAUCUUUAAUGAAGAUUGCUUUUAUCUGUUUGGCUGACAAUCCACAUUCUAGACCAACCAUGUGUGCUGUUUCUCAGCUGUUAGCCAGCUGAAUCAUUUCCUUCCAAGGGUCUUACAUUGAAUUGCAGACUGCCAUGUACGUUGUUUCUCAGCUGUUACUCUUUGAAGUCCUAAUAUUUUUAUUGUUGUGUCAUUGCUGGUAUACAUGUAGAUUACUAAGGAAACUUUACCAGGUUUUCAUGUAUCAUAUUUAUGUUUGUAAGUGAUUUCCAAGCAAAUAGACCCCAUUAUGUAACUUAUUUUGAAAAAUGUAGAUUUGAUUUUAAUACUUCUCAUUACACAUUCCCAUAUGUUAUAUAAAAUAUUCUAACUUAUGACGCAUUUAACAGAGGACUUCGACUUUCAAUCGAGCAAUUAUCUGCAAUAUAUAUGUCGAAUUUACUUACAAUCCCAUUGCACAAGCUGGUCAGUGAUUGGCUCUCUGAGAGAAAAAUCUAUGGUCCGUCCAAAUGUCAAGCUAUGCAUCGAAAUUCUUUAUUUUUCUACAGUAUUAGUAUCUGGCACUUAUAUUGGGAACUUUAGUAUAGAUAAGAUCAUCCAAAUAAAUGAAAAAGCUAAGAAAAAUUGAGUUGGAAGGAUUUGCGAUGUCUGUUUGAAGAAUAUUACAUUAACCAGUCUUGAAAUCUUCAAAUAGCUAUGACUUGUCUUCAGGAAAUUAGUAACUAUGAAAGCUACCCUUUAACAACUUAAUUUAAUGUCCAUUGACAUUAUUAAGUCCCCAAAAAUCAACAGUUCUCUUGGAGCUUGACCCCAAACCUCAACAAGUACGUCUCCAUGCAGCUAUGUAACCAUAUUCCAUCUGAACAUAUUUAAUGUUUCCAUACUCUUUCCUUGAUUUGGCUUACAAUUCCAUCCGAACUUUCCUUGUUGACAAGUCUAGACCACCUUGCUAUGGCUCGUAACAACAUAAAUGGCACCAUACCAAAAUAGAUAGGGAAGUUGAGAUCACUUUCUCAACUCUUUUUUGCAUAAAAAUGAACUGGCAGACAAUAUCCAUUCUCCUAUAGGGAAAUUGAGCAACUUGGUUAAUCUCUAUCUUGGCGACAAUGAACUCUACGUCUCCAUCCCUGACUUGAAUUGUUUGAUUUGUCAAGGAACCAUCUUGAUGGUAGCUUCCCUCGGAAACAUGACUAGUUUAGCAUUUCUUUACAACCCCUGAUUCCAUGGGAAACCCCAUGUCAGACAUUUUGGAUUAGCUGAGAAUGAAUCAACUGGAAAUUUACCAGAAAAUAUAUGCUUUGGUGGACUGCUUGGGAAACUUACUGUAGAAAACAACCAUUUCAAGGCCCCAUACCAACGGCUUUGGAAAUUGCACCAGCUUAAUAGAACUUAAGCUUGAAGAGAAUCAACUUAAUAGCUGAAGGUUUUGGCACAUAUCCGAACUUGAAGUACACUAUUUAAGUUAUAACCAGUUGUCUGGGGAGCUAUCUAAUAAAUGGGAACAAUACCCCCAAUUUGACAAGCUUGAGAUUUGCCAAUAACAUCUCUGGGCGAAUGCCAACUAACCUUGGGGAAGCAUGUUAGCUACAAAUGCUUGACCUAUCUUUAAAACAUUUAAGAGGGGAGAUUCCAAUAGAACUUGAGACGUUGACGUCACUGAACAUCCUUUUGCUUGAUGAUAACAUGUUAUCUGGUUACUUUUCCCUAGGGAUUCAGAUGCUAUCUGGUAUGCAAAGCCUUAGCUUUGCCCGCAACAAAAUGGGCUGCUCAAUUCCCAGUCAAUUAGGACGGUGCUUGAAUUUAAGUAUGAACAAGUUUAAUGAAGGCUGGUUUUCAGCCUUUUCCAUCCACAAGCCAAAAUGGUCGACUGACAAAGUGUAACAAAGUCCUUUUGAUCCUGGUCCUUCUCUUUGGCGGUGAAGCUCUUUUUUUCUAUCACUGUUGUGAUAUCAUUAACCGAAGAAUUAGGGACAAAGAAAACGAAUCAAGAGAAGCACAGACCAGAAGUCCCUUCAUGAUACGGUGCUACGAUAGAAAAUAAUUAAGCAUUCGGACACCAUUAUCAACCAAAGGAAUUGACUCAAAACAUUGUGUCAAAGUAUGACGGAAUGUGUUAAAAGGUGGCUUUCAUGCAGACCAUUCUGUUCGAGCCAUGCAAGUUGCAGCCGAAGAACAUACUGCUGCUUUUUGUUGGUUAAUUGAUGUUUUGCUACUUAGUUACAUUUGAACUAAGUAUAUAAUGUAUUUGAUGUAAUUUGGUGGUGAUGGAUUUGAUAAAUCAGCUUAACCAAGUGUGCAAGCAAUUUUUUAUAAGUUUCAAGACUUUGUUAGUGGAGUUAAGUGUAUUUAGGUAACACUUUUUUUGUUUUUCAGACAAGUUGAUUACUUGUUAUAUGUAAUGAAAUGUUUUCAGAAGAGAAUAGAUGAAUCUUUCAGCAUUUUUCUCUUCUCGUUUUGGUUCUUGUUAAGCAAUCUGUUCUUGUUAUUUUCAAGCCCGAUUUCUUUAUUUGUUCAGCAAGUCACUGUAGCUUCAAGCUCAAGACUCUGAUGUGAUUUCUUAAUUUGUUUCUUAACUCCUACAGAAUGUUCCUUGAGGUAAGGAGGGAAAGGGCUUUCCACGGUUUGUUAUGAUCUUCAUGAUGGCUUUUCAAACAUGGACAUCAUCUAAUUAUUUGUAUUUCAUGAUUAUAAUAAUUGUAAUAUUAUAUAUUCGAAUAUAUUUUAAUUGGAUAAUUAUUAAUUCAUGUUUAUCCUAAAAAGCAAUAGCCUUCCAAGAAAAGGAGAAGAGAAAAAGAAUAGAAUAGAAGAAAAUGAAAAAGACAAAAAAAAGGAAGGAAAAUUAAAAUAUAAAAAAAUUGUUCAAAAAGAAAAAGUAUAGAGUGGAAUUUGAGCUAAAUUUUUUGUUCAUAUCAGCUUGAAGUUACACUUAGAGGUGAUCAUGGAUCAUGUCAAGUUUAAGCUGGGUUUAGACAUGAUAUUUAUAUGCUUUAUCCUUGUUGGAGUCCAACACUACUUAAAAUAUGAAUUUAAAAUUUUGACUAAAUCCGCCCAUAUUUAUUAAUAGUUAAUCUAAGCCUAUUUUAGGCCUAUCCAUGUUAUUUUUUAAAAAAGUUCAACAAUUAUGUUUUAUUAUUUUUAAUGUAAUUUUUUAAGAUAGUGCAAAGAACCAUGGAAAAGAAAAUAAUUUUUUUCAUUAAAACAGUUUGGACAGCAGCAGUGACUUAACUUUGAAAAUUCACCAAAAUUUAUAGAAAAUUUAGUUAGAGAUUGACUUAAAUAUGUAAUUAAAGCUUAUUGAGUGUAGUUUCAUAUGGAAGAAAUGGAAUUUUAUACUGUUAGAUAUAUUAAUUUUCGUGAAAUAAGGUCAGAGUGGAUUUGGGUUCCCCUGUUCUGACUUUGGAAAAUCAUAAAAAAAUUGUAAAAAAAAUUAUUAGGGUUUUAAAUUUAUAUGUUUAAAUUAUUAAUGAUUCUAUUUUCAAGAGAAACAAACGUAAACAUCAUCCAAACCCCGUACUAAGAGAUAAUUAAUUUUUAGUAAAGAAAGGUCGAAGCUGUCAAACAACAGAACAUGGACAAAUUUGAAGAAUUUACUGUACUUAUUAGCUAAGUCAUAAAUUCUGAAAUUUUUAUGGUAAAAAGAUAUUUGAGUCUAGUUUCAAAAAUAUCAAGCGGAUCUUAAUUUCGAAUUCUGUAGCUCAAGAUAUAAAUAAUUUAGUGACUAUAAUUCAAGUGGACAACUUUGAUAUGAACACAUAAGUAAAUAGUGGAAUUAUAGAUAAUGUUACAUAUAAGCAUGUUAUAUACUAAAAUUUAAAGAUUCUAACAAAUAUAUACAUAAAGUAUGGAGAGGAGGAGGAUGAAAAAAAUAUAUGAAUAUAUAUACAGUAGAUGAAUUUGAAAUGUUUCGAAAUGGUUGUAAGUGAUGGAAUGAUUAAUACAUGUGAGUAUGUUUAAACGAAUUGGUAAAAUAAUAAGUGAAUAAUUGUUAAUUGAUGUGAUAUUGAAUUCUUUGCUAAAAUUUUAUAAAGAAUUAAAUUGAUUUGCACAAUUUAGAAAUAAAUAUGAAAUAUACGUAAAGUGGGUAAACUACUUUUAAAAGUGCAGGUCCUCCAAUGCUCUUAUUUGCAAAACUUUAAUAUUUGUGUUAAUUUUAUAUACUUUGUUAUCUUUGAUUGAAUAUCAUGUUUUUAUAAGGACUUGAUAUUAGAAAUACGUGUAAGUGGAUGAUAUAUAAAAUGAAGUAGCGGUUAUGAAACCUGAAUAUAUAUUCAAGUAAUGAUAUAUAAAAAUAAAUAAAUAAAAAUAAAGAGCGGAACUUGUAAGAAAAUGGAGACGACGUCACGAUGACAAGUUCGCCAUGUCACGACGUGGAAACCCCAACAUCGCGACGACAAUUCAGAAAUUUUUAUGAACUUUACAGUUUGGCCUUUGAUCAAUUAUGGAUGUUUUAAUGAGCUCCUUUAACUCAUUAUUAGUUCUAUCAUAAAUUCAAUUAUUACUAAAAUGAGUUAAUGAUCUACAUUAAUUAAAUAAUAUGAUAAAUUGAUAUGAAAUUUUCAGUAGUUGCUUCGACAAUGAAUGUGACAUCCUGAUGCCUUAACUCGACGAUCAGGUCGGGUAUGGGGGUGUUACAGUAAGCGCGCUAAAAUUUCCUUAAUGGCAUGUCAUCUAUAUUUUAAUAGUUCAUAUCUUGUCUACAUAGGCUUCAUUUUCAUCAAAUUAUAGCAUUUAUUUAGUUAAGAAAUAUACUAUAAAUUUACAAUUUUCUCAAUUGAGUCCUCUUCUUCACUAUACAAUAUAGCUUGUAUUUCACUUUAGAUCAAAUGCACAUAACAUCAUCACUAUAUUACUUUUACAUUUUUUACAAUUUAAUCCUUAUAACAAUAUUUAGUAUAAUUAUAUCUUCCACUUUCAUUAACACAUGUAACUUGUCUCCAUAUUUAAUAAUCUUCCAUAAUUCGCUAAUAAUUCUUAUUAUAAAUUUCACAUAUCACUUUUACUUUGCAAUUUUAGUCCUUAUCACAACAUUCCAUACAAUAGUACCUUACAUUUUCAAUAACACAUAUAACAUAUUUCAUUUCUUAAUUUAAUUUCUAUAUUUCACCACAAAUUCUUAUUAUCACAUUCGCAUAUUAUUUUUGCUUAUUUUAUCAAAAUAGUCUUUAGGACGUCAAUUCAACCAAUAGAACUUUCAUCUCUUUUUAAUACAUGCAAUAUGUUUCUCUGUCUAAUAUAAUUUCCAUAAUUCUUCACUAGAUCUUAUCAUAUUUAACUCAUGUUACUUUUAGACAUUUAACAAUUUAGUCUUUGUCUCUCUCUCAUAUUUUAUUCUACACUUUCAUAACACUUCCAUUAUACCUGUUCAUGGUUUAGGCUACCUAUCUAGGCCCGAAGGCCCACCCGAAAUUUGGGAGGGUUUGGGUAAAAAUAUUAGGCUCGAAAAAUGGGUUUUGACAACAAAAUUAGGCUCGUUUAAAAUAUUAGUCGGGCUCGGGUCCGACUCAUUUUUAAGUUUAUAAUACUUUAUAUUAUGUUAUUUUUAUAUAUUAUGUAAUUUAGAACACAUUAAAAAUAAACAUAUACUAAAUAUAUAAUACUACUCUAAUGUAAACAUUAAAAUAAUGUUAAGAUGAUUAUAUAAAAAAUUCAAUAAAUAAAAAAUGUAUAAAAUUAUUAAAUAUUAAAAUUAUAUAAUAUAAAUAUUUUUAAAAAAAUAAAAAUAAUAUGGACGGAUUAAAAAUGGGCUUGGGUUAGUCUCUUGCAAAUAUGAGCAGGUUUGGGUAAAAAUUUAAACCCAUAUUUCAGGUCAGGUCGAGCUUGACAAGCAUAAAGUAUAUUAACAUCAUGCUUAAACCCGGCCCGAACCCGACUUGACCCGGCCCAUGAGAACCUCUAACUACUAUAUCAUUCCACACAUUAUUCUUAUAUAUAUAUAUAUAUAUAUAUAUAUAUAUAUAUAUAUAUUAACUCAAACAUUCAUUUCCUUAUAAUAAUUGCAAAUUUAUCAACUUUAGUAUCUUUUACAAUUUAAUCAUUUUAUGUACUUUUAAUCUUUUCUCACUUUUCUUCCAUUUUCUCGUCAUAUAUUAUUUAAUAAACACAAUCAACUUAUUAUUUCUUUUCACUUAGUCAUUACCAUAUUUUAUUCUUCACUUAUUAAUCAUAUAAGCUUGUAAUUAAAUAUCAUAUUAAAUCUAUAUUCAUCCUAAUAAUUAACAAUAUAAUUGAAAAAAAAAAAGUAAGUUUCUACAUAUACUUACAACUUUAGGCUUGAAAUCAAGCUUUCUUCUUCCUUUGGCCAUUCAUUUGCCUUAUUUCUUCACUUAUUUCUCACUUUCCUUUACUAUUUCUCAAACACUUAUAUUCAACAUUAACUCCUAUUUUCUCUCUCCUCUAAGACAUUCAUGGAUGCACCUCUGAUGGAAUUUAGGUAGUUAUUAGACUUCUCUAUUGAUUUCACUCAGUAAUUAUGAAGAAAUUUUAAAGAACUAAGCUUAACUGGUUUGGUAAUAAUGAAAAUAAUUUAAUUGAAAGAAAAGUAAAACUUGGAAUGGAUGGUUCUGGUGGCUAACGUGAGAGAUAAAGAUGAAUGAUUGCUUUUAUUAUCUUCAUCAAUUGUAUACUUACCAUAUAUAAAAUGGAUGACUAAGCUGGUGUUAUGAGUCAACUCGACACCAACUCAAUUGUGAAAUUACUAAAAUAUCUUUACUUAUUAAUAUUAUUACAAAGACAUUUUUGUUAGUUCAUACAUUUAUUUUAUUUUGUUUUAUAUUUUACGUAUUUAUUUUACGAUUCAUGUUUGAGAUUCGGAUAUGUCCCUCCUAAUAAUAUUGUCUCUAAGCUCCAAACUUUAUAACAUUUCGUACUUUUAUAUAAUACUUCAAAUAAAAUAACUAAAAAAAUUGUUUAGGAAUCAAAUACAAUGCUAACAAAUCUAAAUAGAAAUCUCUUGCCACAAAGGAUAUAAUUAUUUAUUGAAAUAGAUUUAUAAAUAGAUGUGAUAAAAUGUAGUAUGUACCUUAUGUGAAUUAAUAUACUAAAAAGUUAGAAUCAUUCAUUGCUUAAAAAAAUUACUUCUGACUCUAAAAGCAUUUUUGGAAGAAAAGCUGUGCAGAACAAGUUGUUUUUGACUGAAAUUUUUAGCUUUUCAGAAAGCACUUCUAAAAAUGAGAAGCUAAAAAUUUUAGCUUUUCCUCCGCAAAAGCACUUUUGGUGCUUAAUUACUUUUUCACCAUUCCAAUAACAUAAUACUUUCCUUUUUUUUCUUGGUGCUUAAUUACAAAUGUGUUAAAAUCAUUAAUUAAAAAUAAAAAAAUUAAAAUCUUAAUUAGAAAUAUUUGAUGGUUAUAUUUAAAUAUUUAAAAUAUAGUUUAUAUAUUCUACUUUAAUUUUACAAAUAAUUAAUAUUUAUUGUUUAAAAAUAUUUAAAAUUUAUAUUUCAUAUAUUAAAAUAUUAAUAACAAGUUAUAAUAAUUUUUUUAUAUUCUUACUAAAAUAUAAUAAUAUUAAAUAAUUUAAAUAUUAUUUAAAUGUAUAUUUAUUACUUGAUAAUAAUAUGUCUAAAAUAGACAUUUUAUUUCUCAAAAACACUUUUUAACAAUAAUUCUAAAGACUCAAAUUUUAAACAUAACUUUUUAAAUGCAGUCCUCAAAAGCAGUUUUAUAUAAUACUUUUCAAAAGCACAGUCAAAACUAUCACUAAAUAUCAUGACAUUGGAUGCGAGAUUAAAGUCAAACGAAACUUCAUAAAACUUGGGCUUUUCCAACUUCUGUAUGCCGUAUUGAAGGGCUAGCAAUUUAUUUUGCUUUUAAAGAUAGCUUUCCAAGCUGACUAUGCAAAGGAAGACCCCAACAGUGCGAGAGACUUGUUCAAGUCUCUCUUAAUAUUAUUAUAUUUCAACUUUGCCAUGAGAAAAACACAAACAUCAAUGUGGAAAAUUGGACUCGAGUGCUUUUAAGACUAAAAGUAGGUAUAUCCAAAAUAUUGCAGAUGAACCUAAAUAUCAAUACUGAAAUACUGUUUGGAACCUUGAGUUGUUAAAGAUGAAGAGAGUAGCCUGGCUUCCUUCCCUGCUGCUCCUGAUAGUUACGUUGCAUACUUGUUUAUCUGAUGUUGAGUCUAAUUCUACAGCAGAAGCACUUGCGCUCCUCAAUUGGAAAGCCAGCCUUCUAUCCCUCACAAACCGUUCUGUUUUGCCUUCGUGGACUGUCUCGCCUGGAAAUGCACAAGCAAAUCCCUGCGGUUGGUUUGGGAUCCAUUGCAAGGGUGACAGCGUUUCCAGAAUCAAUCUUACGAGUUAUGGUGUAAAAGGUACAUUCCAUGCAUUUCCAUUCUCAUCUUUGCCUAAUCUUGAAGAGUUAGACCUUAGCAUCAAUGGACUUUUUGGCACAAUCCCACGUCAAAUCAAUCAACUCUCUAAUCUCACUUACCUUGAUUUAUCAUAUAAUCAGUUGUCUGGAAGAAUCCCACCUCAAAUUGGUCAACUUAUUCAUCUCAAGACCCUUCACCUUGUUCAAAACCUGUUGAAUGGCUCCAUUCCUGAGGAAAUAGGUCAGCUAGAGUCCCUCGAAGAGCUUUCCUUGCAAAACAACUAUCUAAAUGGUUCCAUCCCUUCUUCUUUGGGUAACUUGGCCAACCUGACCUACUUGUAUAUGUUAAAAUAAUUCCCUUUCUGGUAACAUCCCUUCAGAAAUAGGAAAUCUUAGCAGCUUGCAGGAACUUUACAAUGGCAACAAUCAACUCACAGGUUCCAUCCCUUCCACUUUUAGAAACCUAAAACACUUAAGAUUCCUCAACUUGUCCACUAACAGUCUUUCAGGAUCCAUCCCUUCUGAAUUUGGGCAUAUGGAAUCGCUGAAUGGAUUAGCACUUUUUAAAAACAAUCCAUCAGGUUUCAUCCCACCCUCACUCGGAAACUUGACUGACCUGACCAUUCUCCAACUGUAUGAAAAUAAACUUUUUGGCCCCAUUCCUGAAGAGUUAGGGAACUUGAAAUUAUUGGUUUUCCUAGAGGUGAGUCAAAACCAACUCAAUGGUUCUAUUCUAUCUUUAUUUGCUAAUUUGAGCAACUUGGAAACUUUGUUCCUCCGAGACAACCAACUUUCUGGUCCCAUACCUCAAGAAAUAGGAAACCUCAUGAAAAUGAGGAUGUUGGAACUCGAUGGAAACCAUUUCACUGGGUAGCUGCCGCAAAACAUUUGCAGAGAUGGAACACUGGAAUAUUUCAUAGCCAAUGACAACCAUUUCAGAGGACCAAUACCCAAAGACUUGAAAAACUGCAGCAGCCUAAAAAGAGUGCGCCUGGAAAGAAAUAGACUGACUGGAAACAUAUCAGAAGAUUUCGGAGUCUAUUCAAGCUUGAAUUUUCUAAGCCUUAGUGACAAUGACUUUUAUGGUGAAAUUUCGCCUCAGUGGGCGUCGUGCAAUAAUUUGAGCAGCCUACAGAUUGCCCGGAACAACAUCACUGGCAGAAUACCACCUGAGCUUGGAAACUCAGCUCAGCUUCAGGCUCUUGAUCUUUCUUCAAAUCAUUUAGUGGGGGAGAUUCCAAAGGAACUGACAAAAUUGACAUCUUUAACAAGGCUUAUUUUGUCAGGGAAUCAACUCUCUAGUGGUAUACCAAUGGAAGUUGGAUCUUUUUCCCAACUCGAGUAUCUUGAUUUGUCGGCGAACACAUUGAGUCCGUCCAUCCCCGAGACUAUAGCGGAUAUGUUGAAAUUGUACUACUUGAAUUUGAGUAGCAACAAUUUUAGCCUGGGAAUUCCACCUCAGAUAGGCAAGUUAGUUCAAGUGAAUGAAUUAGAUCUGAGUCAUAAUGUGAUUCCAGGGGAGAUUCCAACACAAUUUCAAUCUUUGCAGAGCUUGUCAACGUUGAACCUCUCUAACAAUAACCUCUUCGGCAAUAUCACCAUUUUCAAUGAGCUCCGAGGCUUGGUCCAAGUUGACAUAGGGCAUAAUGAAUUGGAGGGUCCAGUUCCUGAUGUCCCAGCGUUUCAAAAUACUUCAAUACAAGCAUUAGAAGGAAACAAGGGUUUGUGUGGCGAUGUUAGUGGGUUGAAACCUUG
rnacentral:lncRNA from 1 species